rnacentral:rRNA from 1 species
UACGUAGGGGGCUAGCGUUGUCCGGAAUCAUUGGGCGUAAAGAGCGUGUAGGCGGUUCGGUAAGUCCGCUGUGAAAGUCCAGGGCUCAACCCUGGAAUGCCAGUGGAAACUGCCGAGCUAGAGUCCGGAAGAGGCGAGUGGAAUUCCUGGUGUAGCGGUGGAAUGUGCAGAUAUCAGGAGGAACACCAAUAGCGAAGGCAGCUCGCUGGGACAUGACUGACACUAAGGCGCGAAAGCGUGGGGAGCGAACAGG